AGUGAGGUGGCCGAGAGUUAGGCGAUAAAUUGUAAAUUUAUUCACGGAUUUAGAUCCCCUUUCUA
rnacentral:tRNA from 1 species